rnacentral:rRNA from 1 species
GACGAACGCUGGCGGCGUGCCUAAUACAUGCAAGUUGAGCGCUGAAGGUUGGUACUUGUACCGACUGGAUGAGCAGCGAACGGGUGAGUAACGCGUGGGGAAUCUGCCUUUGAGCGGGGGACAACAUUUGGAAACGAAUGCUAAUACCGCAUAAAAACUUUAAACACAAGUUUUAAGUUUGAAAGAUGCAAUUGCAUCACUCAAAGAUGAUCCCGCGUUGUAUUAGCUAGUUGGUGAGGUAAAGGCUCACCAAGGCGAUGAUACAUAGCCGACCUGAGAGGGUGAUCGGCCACAUUGGGACUGAGACACGGCCCAAACUCCUACGGGAGGCAGCAGUAGGGAAUCUUCGGCAAUGGACGAAAGUCUGACCGAGCAACGCCGCGUGAGGGAAGAAGGUUUUCGGUUCGUAAAACUCUGUUGGUAGAGAAGAACGUUGGUGAGAGUGGAAAGCUCAUCAAGUGACGGUAACUACCCAGAAAGGGACGGCUAACUACGUG